CCCCUUUUUAACAGUAGCUCAACUUAAACAAUACAAAAAAAGAAAGUACAGCUGAAGGUAAACAUUGUACACAUGUAUUGUUGCAUGUAGAUUAAGACUCAGGGUAUGUGUAUCAGGAUUUUUGCGUGCGAAAGGACUACUCUAAUUAUUCUGCAAGAAUACCUUUACAUGCGUUUUGUGUUUUUGAAAUGGAGAAAGACGUUGAAAGUAUAUUCCUAAUGCAAAAAAAAAAAACGGAGAAAGCGUUGAUUAGUGAUUGUGCUGAUUCAAAAUUUGGAUUUACAUCAAACGUGUAUUCAGACAUAUUCGAUUAAAGUGUUCAAUCAAAGAGGAUAGAUAUUUUAGCAGCUGAUAAAGGCAAGUUUUAUGUAUAUUAUAUUUCAAAAUGUAGUCCUCUCCUAUUAGUUUCUUGUUUCUUCUCGGGUUUUAUUUUUUACCUGUUUACUAGGAAAAAAAGUAGAGAAAAACACAUGUGAAGACAGGUUCGCGUUGAACCAUAGUAGAGCACCGCAGUCGAUUUUGUUUCAAAUAUAUGAUUUAUAAGAAUAAAAGAUAACAAUGUGCAAUCG
rnacentral:lncRNA from 1 species